GACGAACCGUGCGAACGUUGUUCGGAAUCACUGGGCUUAAAGGGCGCGUAGGCGGGCCGCCAAGUCCGCGGUGAAAUCCCCCAGCUCAACCGGGGAACUGCCGCGGAUACUGGAGGUCUCGAGGGGGGUAGGGGCAUGCGGAACUGCGGGUGGAGCGGUGAAAUGCGUUGAUAUCCGCAGGAACUCCGGUGGCGAAGGCGGCGUGCUGGACCCCUUCUGACGCUGAGGCGCGAAAGCCAGGGGAGCGAACGGG
rnacentral:rRNA from 1 species